rnacentral:rRNA from 1 species
GAUGAACGCUGGCGGCGUGCCUAAUACAUGCAAGUCGAGCGAACAGAUGAGGAGCUUGCUCCUCUGACGUUAGCGGCGGACGGGUGAGUAACACGUGGAUAACCUACCUAUAAGACUGGGAUAACUUCGGGAAACCGGAGCUAAUACCGGAUAAUAUAUUGAACCGCAUGGUUCAAUAGUGAAAGACGGUUUUGCUGUCACUUAUAGAUGGAUCCGCGCCGCAUUAGCUAGUUGGUAAGGUAACGGCUUACCAAGGCAACGAUGCGUAGCCGACCUGAGAGGGGGAUCGGCCGCCCGGGAACUGAGACAGGGUCAAGACUCCUACGGGAGGCAGCAGUAGGGAAUCUUCCGCAAUGGGCGAAAGCCUGACGGAGCAACGCCGCGUGAGUGAUGAAGGUCUUCGGAUCGUAAAACUCUGUUAUUAGGGAAGAACAAAUGUGUAAGUAACUAUGCACGUCUUGACGGUACCUAAUCAGAAAGCCACGGCUAACUACGUG